AUUGAACGCUGGCGGCAGGCCUAACACAUGCAAGUCGAGCGAGCGGCGGACGGGUGAGUAAUGUCUGGGAAACUGCCUGAUGGAGGGGGAUAACUACUGGAAACGGUGGCUAAUACCGCAUACUAUCAGAUGUGCCCAUAUGGGAUGAGCUAGUAGGGGGGGUAACGGCUCACCUAGGCGACGAUCCCUAGCUGGUCUGAGAGGAUGAUCGGCCACACUGGAACUGAGACACGGCCCAGACUCCUACGGGAGGCAGCAGUGGGGAAUAUUGCACAAUGGGCGCAAGCCUGAUGCAGCAAUGCCGCGUGUGUGAAGAAGGCCUUCGGGUUGUAAAGCACUUUCAGCGGGGAGGCGGUACCUGCAGAAGAAGCACCGGCUAACUCCGUGCCAGCAGCCGCGGUAAUAC
rnacentral:rRNA from 1 species